rnacentral:lncRNA from 1 species
CCCAUGAGGGCAGAGGCGUUCAGCCUGACGCCAGCCUGGCAAAUUUGUCACAAAUCUGGAGGAACGCACACGUUCGCGGGCACCCAGUUCUGUGAGCUGUGCCUGGGUGAGAUUCUUCCCCUUCGAGCACCUCUUCUUCCUGGAGGGUUCAGUGGCUGAGCUGACACCGGUAGGCAAGAGGCCCUGGCCUGCUUGUUGAAGGACUCAAAGGUGGCGUCUGGAAGCCUGGCGGGACUUUUCCCCUGUCAGCCUAGAGGCACUUUUAGAGGAGCGUGUCUGUUUCGCAGUCUUC